GUUGUCGUGGCCGAGUGGUUAAGGAGAUGGACUACAAAUCUUUUGGGAUCUUCCCACGCAGGUUCGAAUCCUGCCGACAUCG
rnacentral:tRNA from 1 species